GUGGGGAAUAUUGGACAAUGGGGGAAACCCUGAUCCAGCCAUGCCGCGUGUGUGAAGAAGGCCUUCGGGUUGUAAAGCACUUUAAGCGGGGAGGAAGGGCUGAGGGUUAAUAACCUUCAGCAUUGACGUUACCCGCAGAAUAAGCACCGGCUAACUCUGUGCCAGCAGCCGCGGUAAUACAGAGGGUGCAAGCGUUAAUCGGAAUUACUGGGCGUAAAGCGCGCGUAGGCGGUUGUGUAAGUUGGAUGUGAAAGCCCCGGGCUCAACCUGGGAAUGGCAUUCAAAACUGCACGGCUAGAGUAUUGGAGAGGAAGGUAGAAUUCCAGGUGUAGCGGUGAAAUGCGUAGAGAUCUGGAGGAAUACCGAUGGCGAAGGCAGCCUUCUGGCCAAAUACUGACGCUGAGGUGCGAAAGCAUGGGGAGCAAACAGGAUUAGAUACCCGGGUAGUCC
rnacentral:rRNA from 1 species